UACAGAGGGUGCGAGCGUUGUUCGGAAUUAUUGGGCGUAAAGGGCGCGUAGGCGGUGCGGUAAGUCACCUGUGAAAUCUCCUGGCUUAACUGGGAGCCUGCAGGCGAAACUACCGUGCUGGAGUGUGGGAGAGGUGCGUGGAAUUCCCGGUGUAGCGGUGAAAUGCGUAGAGAUCGGGAGGAACACCAGAGGCGAAGGCGGCGACCUGGACAAGUACUGACACUCAACUACGAAAGCGUGGGGAGCAAACAGG
rnacentral:rRNA from 1 species